CCUACGGGUGGCUGCAGUGGGGAAUAUUGGACAAUGGGGGCAACCCUGAUCCAGCCAUGCCGCGUGUGUGAAGAAGGCCCUCGGGUUGUAAAGCACUUUCAGUGAGGAAGAACGCCUGGUGGUUAAUACCCAUCAGGAAAGACAUCACUCACAGAAGAAGCACCGGCUAACUCCGUGCCAGCAGCCGCGGUAAUACGGAGGGUGCGAGCGUUAAUCGGAAUUACUGGGCGUAAAGCGCGCGUAGGUGGCUUGAUAAGCCGGUUGUGAAAGCCCCGGGCUCAACCUGGGAACGGCAUCCGGAACUGUCAAGCUAGAGUGCAGGAGAGGAAGGUAGAAUUCCCGGUGUAGCGGUGAAAUGCGUAGAGAUCGGGAGGCAUACCAGUGGCGAAGGCGGCCUUCUGGACUGACACUGACACUGAGGUGCGAAAGCGUGGGUAGCAAACAGGAUUAGAUACCCUAGUAGUC
rnacentral:rRNA from 1 species